CCUACGGGAGGCAGCAGUAGGGAAUCUUCCGCAAUGGACGAAAGUCUGACGGAGCAACGCCGCGUGAGCGAAGAAGGUCUUCGGAUCGUAAAGCUCUGUUGUUAGGGAAGAACAAGUACCGGAGGGAAUGCCGGUACCUUGACGGUACCUGACGAGAAAGCCACGGCUAACUACGUGCCAGCAGCCGCGGUAAU
rnacentral:rRNA from 1 species